GACGAACGCUGGCGGCGUGCUUAACACAUGCAAGUCGAACGGAAAGGCCCUGCUUUUGUUGGGUGCUCGAGUGGCGCACGGGUGAGUAACACAUGUGUAACCUGCCCUUGACUUAGGGAUAACUUCUGGAAACUGGGGCUCAUACCGGAUAGGAGCUCCUGCUGCAUGGUGGUGGUUGGAAAGUUUCGGCGGUUGGGGAUGGAAUGGCGGCUUCUCCGCUUGUUGGUUGGGUAGUGGCUUACCAAGGCUUUGACGGGUAGCCGACCUGAGAGGGGGGACGGCCACAUUGGGACUGAGGGACGGACCAGACGGGUACGGGAGGCAGUAGGGGGGAGGAUUGCGCAAUAGGCGGAAGCCAGAUGCAGCAACGCCGCGUGCGUGAAGACUGCCUUUGUGUUGAGAACCACUUUCUCCUGUGACGAAGCGUGAGUGACGGUACUGAGUAAAGAAGCACCGGCUAACUACGUG
rnacentral:rRNA from 1 species